ensembl:lncRNA
UGGCAGACCAUGCAGUUCAAUAAAUAAAACCAUGUUUUUUUUCAUAGGAAAACUCCUUUCCUGGGAGUUACAGACGUGGUCCCUGCCAAGGCAGUAUAUCUCAGUGAUACAGAGACGGACCGAGAUUGUUUCCCAUUUCCCAUCAACAGCCAAGGGAUGUGGCAAACGAAUAUUACAGGGCCCUGAGCCAGGAAGAGCUUGUCUGUAUGAAAUUACAGCCCCGGAGAAGAGCAGCUUAAUUCAGUGUGGUGUUAGUAAAAGAAGCGCAGGAAACUUGAAGUUGACCUCUUGA